rnacentral:tRNA from 1 species
CGCGGGGUGGAGCAGUCUGGUAGCUCGUCGGGCUCAUAACCCGAAGGUCGAAGGUUCAAAUCCUUCCCCCGCUCCCA